GACGAACGCUGGCGGCGUGCCUAACACAUGCAAGUCGAACGAAGAUAUGAUUUCGGUUAUAUCUUAGUGGCGAACGGGUGAGUAACGCGUGAGCAACCUGACCCUUCAGAGGGGGAGUAACACUUGGAAACAGGUGCUAAUACCGCAUAAGACCACGACCCGACAUCGGGAUGCGGUCAAAGGAGCAAUCCGCUGAGGGAGGGGCUCGCGUCCCAUUAGAUAGAUGGCGGGGUAACGGCCCACCAUGUCGACGAUGGGUAGCCGAGCUGAGAGGCUGAUCGGCCACACUGGAACUGAGACACGGUCCAGACUCCUACGGAGGCAGCAGUGGGGAAUAAUUGGGCAAUGGGCGCAAGCCUGACCCAGCAACGCCGCGUGAGGGAAG
rnacentral:rRNA from 1 species